ACCGAAGUUUUUGAAGUCAUAACAGCACUACGUCCAAAAUUUCAUCCAAUCCGAUGAUAAUUGUGGCUUCCAGAGGCUGAAGAUAUUAAAUCGGGAGAUCAGUUUAUAUGGGAGCUAUAUCAGCUUCCAGGGGCUCAAGGUCUCAAAUCUUAGCCAAAUCGGACAACAAUUUCGGCUUCUACGGGUUCAAGAUGUCAAAUCGAAGGACUACCGUAUAUGGGAGCUGUAUCCAAAUCGCAAUUGAUAUAGCUCAAAACCCAACAAAAAGCCACACUACCGGGCAUAUCCUUAAUAUAACUUAAACAUGGGCAUGUCAUUGGAGGAAAGUGCUUCGGAGCAAACAUACUGGAUGAUAAAUAAUUUAUUCUUCGUACAAAUACUGAAGUGCUAAAAUAAAGACAUACCUCUAAACAUACCGAAGUAUGGAUAAUAA